rnacentral:lncRNA from 1 species
UUAACUUUUUUACUUGCUUUCCCUCUUUCGUUCGCUUUUAUGCUUUCCCCUUUUGUACCACCGACUUUUGUGAUUUUAAAAAAGAAGCCUUCUUACCUUCCGGAAAAAAGAAGCCCUGUUAUCUCGGAAAAAAAGAUAAGAAGACUUCUAAAUCCUUCUUAUCUCUUUUUCCGAGUAUACAGGGUAUUGAGAUAUAGGUACUACCCGGUUUUGUCCCAUCAUGACGUUUUAAUAAAAAUGGCAUACCUACAUUCGAUUAUGCGGUAAAAUAUUGAUUAAUGUGUUAAAAUAUUUCUUAAAAGU